UACGGAGGGUGCAAGCGUUAUCCGGAUUCACUGGGUUUAAAGGGUGCGUAGGAGGGCAGGUAAGUCAGUGGUGAAAUCUCCGAGCUUAACUCGGAAACUGCCGUUGAUACUAUCUGUCUUGAAUACCGUGGAGAUGAGCGGAAUAUGUCAUGUAGCGGUGAAAUGCUUAGAUAUGACAUAGAACACCAAUUGCGAAGGCAGCUCGUUACACGAAUAUUGACUCUGAGGCACGAAAGCGUGGGGAUCAAACAGG
rnacentral:rRNA from 1 species